GUAACAAGGUCUCCGUUGGUGAACCAGCGGGGAUCAUUA
rnacentral:rRNA from 1 species